rnacentral:rRNA from 1 species
GUUAGGUAAAUCCGGCUCUUUCUAAGGCUGAGACACGACGUCGAGCACCUACGGGUGUGAAGUCAUUGAUGCCAUGCUUCCAGGAAAAGCCUCUAAGCUUCAGAUUGUAAGGAAUCGUACCCCAAACCGACACAGGUGGUCGGGUAGAGAAUACCAAGGCGCUUGAGAGAACUCGGGUGAAGGAACUAGGCAAAAUGGUACCGUAACUUCGGGAGAAGGUACGCUCUUGAUGGUGAAGUCCCUCGCGGAUGGAGCUGACGAGAGUCGCAGAUACCAGGUGGCUGCAACUGUUUAUUAAAAACACAGCACUGUGCAAAAUCGUAAGAUGACGUAUACGGUGUGACGCCUGCCCGGUGCC